rnacentral:lncRNA from 10 species
GGCAACUAAACUUUAAAGAAUUUACCACAAAACAAAUAAUGUUAACAGACCACACGAACAAAGGACACAAACCACACAAUCAUCUCAACAGACACUGAAAAACCACUUGACAAAUCCAAUAGCCAUUCAUGAUAAAAACUCCCAGGAAACUAGUAGUAUAUAUAGAAGGGAACUUGCUCAACCUGACAAUAGGCAUCUAUGAAAAACCUAUAGCUAACUUGUGAAGGACUGAAUGCUUUCUCUCCAGGAUGUGGAACAAGGCGAAGAUGUCUGCUGUUACCACUUCUACUCAACACUGUAAUGGAGGUUAAUCUAGAGCAAUCAGGCAAUCAGAAGAAGUAAAAGACAUCCAGACUAGAAACAAAGAAGUAAAAUGCUCUUUAUUUGCAGAUAACAGAUCCUGUAUGUAGAAAACUGUAAGGAAUUCACAAAGAAACUACUACAACUGGUGAGUUCAGCAAGGGCGAAGGAUACAAGAGCAAUGGACAAAUCGAUUGUAUUUCUACAGGUUAGCGUUAACAACCUGAAAACGAAAAUUAGAAAACACUUCCACCAUUCAAGACAGCAUGGAAAAAGAAUAAAAUACUUGGCAAUAAAUUUAACAAAAAAAAUUCAAGACUCGUACACCGAACAACUACAAAACACUGCUGAGAGAAAUUAAAUAAAGAGACCUCUGUGUCAUGGAUUGGAAAACUCAACGUUGUUGACAGUGAGUCUCCCCAAAUUGAUCUAUAGGUUCAAGGCAAUUCCUACCAAAACUCCAGCUGUUUUUUUGGUUUUUUUUUUUUGGCAGAAAUGGACAAUUUGUAUGGAACUGUACAGGACCCGGCAUAGUCAAAACAUUCCUGAAAAAGUUAGAGGGCUUAUAAUUCCAAAUUUCAAAAUUCACUAUAAAGCUACAGUCAGUAAGACAGUGCAGUAUUAGCAUGAAGGAUACACCUACAGAACAAAAGAGAACUCAGAAUCCGGAAAUAAACCCUUAUAUUUAUGGUCAAUUGAUUUUCAUAAGAUGCUACGGCAAUUCAAUAGGGAAGGGACAGUCUUUUCAAUAAAAGGUGCUGGAAUAAUCACACACCCACAUGCAAAAAGAUAAAUUAUACCCUUACCUCUCACUAUAAACAAAACAAUAUAGAUCACAGACCUAAAUGUAGGAGCCAAAAUUAUAAAACUCUUAAAACGUACGAGUAAAUUUUCAUUACCUUUAAUUAGGCAAUGUUUCUUAGAUAACCAUAAAACUGCAAAAGCAAUUUUUAAAAAUGAUAAAUAGGACUUCAUCAAAAAGUAAACGCUUCAAAAGAUACUACUGAGAAAGUCACAGAAUAGGAGAAAAAAUCUGAUGAGACUUUAUGUCUAGAGUAAUGAAUUCUUGUUAACGAAUAACCAACCCCCUUUUAAAAAUGGGCAAAAGAUUUGAAUAAACAUUUCACUACAGACAAUAAACAAAUGGCCUUAAGCACAAGAGAUGCUCAACAUCAGUAAUUAUUAGGGAAAUGCCAAUCAAAACUACAACGAGAUACCCUAUAUCCACUAGUAUGGCUAUAAUAAAAAAGAGUAACAAACGUUGAGGAGGAUAUGGAGAAACUCGAGCCCUGGUCAGGUGUGGUGGAUCACACCUGUAAUUCCAACACUUUGGGAAGCUGAGGCAGGCAGACUACUUCACUGAACCCAGGAGUUCAAGAGUAGCCUGGGCAACACGGCGAAACCCCAUUUCUACAAAAAAUACAAAAAUUAAUCAGGCAUGGUGGUGGUGCACGCCUAUAAUCCCAGCUAUUAGGGAGGCUAAGAUGGGAGGAUUGCUUGAGCCAGGGAGGUGGAGGUUGCAGUGAGCCAAGAUCACACCACUGCACUCUAGCCUGGGUGACAGAGUGAGACCCUAUCUCAAAACAAAACAAAACGACUUGAGCCCUUAUAAACACUGCCAGUUUCUUAGAACAUAAAUUUACCAUAUGGCCCAGCAAGUCCUAAAAACAUAUCCACGCAGACUUGAACAUAAAUGUUCAUAGGCAGUAUUAUUCAUAAUUAGCUGAAAAGUAGAAAUAAUCCAAAUGUCCAUCAUCAUCUCAUGAAUGGAUAAACAAAAUGUGACAUCCAUAGAAUGAAAUACUAUUGGACAAUAAAAAAGAAUGAAAGCACUGGUACAUGCUGCAACGUGGAUAAAAUUCAAAAACAUCAUGCCAAAAGAAGCCAGACACAAAAGAUCAUAUAGUACAUGAUUCUAGAUUCUAUCCAUAUGAAAUGUGAACAAAAUGCAAAUCUGCAGAGAGACAGAACAGACUAGAGGUUGCCUGAGGCUGCUGGUGGAAUAGGGAGUGACUGCAAAUGGCUACAAGGGAUCUUUUUUGGGUGACAGAAAUGUCCGAAAAUUGGACUGUGAUAGUUGUACAAUUCUAUAAAGUUACUGAAAAUCACUGAGUUAUAAACUGUAAUUAUAUAAAUUAAAUUGUAUAAGGUAUGCAAAUCAACCUCAAUAAAGCUGUUAAAAAAAUAACGAUUUGUUGAGUUUUGGUGUAGUAUCAAAGAAUAAUUUCUACAACUAUCUCAAAGUUAUCUUAAAAUAUUCCAUCCUUUUCUAAUUGUAUUUCUGUGUAAGGUUAGAUUUUCUUCAAAUAAGUAACCCAAAAUAAACUGGAACAGAUACUAGCUGUCUUCUGUUAUGCUAGAUGUUAAAGAUGUUUGCAAAAAUGUAAACAGUGCCUGACGACUUCUCAUUAAAAAAAAAAAAUUGGGGAAGACGGAUUAUAGGCUCACACCUACAAUCCCAGCACUUUGGGAGGCUGACGCUGGAGGACCCCUUGAACCUGGGAGAUAGAGGCUACAGUGAGCUGUGAUUGUGCCACUGCACUCCAGCCUGGGAAACAGAGAGAAACACUGUCUCAAAAAAAAGGCCGGGAGGUGGCAGGGGGAGGACAGCUAUUUUUCACUAAAAAAUAUGUCAUUUAUGUUAAUAUGUAAUGGGUUUUCUACUAGUAUUUUAAAGUAAAUCAAUAAAUAUUUAAAUUUUUCCUCAGUGUUAAUUUCUUUGUGUUUUUUUGUUUGUUUGAGAUGGCAUCUCGCUCUGUCACCUAGCCUAGAGCACAGUGGUGCAAUCUUGGCUCAAUGCAACCUCCACCUCCCGCGUUCAAGUGAUUCUCCUGCCUCAGCCUCCCAAGUAGUUGGGACCACAGGCAUGUGCCCCCACGCCCAGCUCAUUUUUGUAUUUUUAGUGGAGACGACAGGGUUUCACCAGGCUGGUCUCGAACUCCCAACCGCAGGUGAUCCACCUGCCUUAGCCUCCCAAAGUGCUGGGAUUACAGGUGUGAGCCACCGCACCCAGACCUCAAUGUUAAUUUCUAACAUAGUAAAUGUUGACAGAUAUAACCCACAUAAACAAAAGUUCUUUGAGGUCCUCAAUAAAUUUUUACAGUAUAAGGAGGUCCUGAAACCAAAAACUUUAAGAAGCACUUCUCCACAACCAGGCCUCUGAUCUCUAACCUGGAAUGUCCCCGAAGCACCUUUGCCAGUUAUCUGUUCUAACUGGCCCCUCUCUACUGCUCUCUGCAGAGCGUUCUUCAACAGCUGAGGCCUGCAAAGAAAAACAAAAAAAAAAUAGUGAUAAAUACAUU